rnacentral:rRNA from 1 species
UACGUAGGGCGCAAGCGUUGUCCGGAAUUAUUGGGCGUAAAGAGCUCGUAGGCGGUCUGUCACGUCUGCCGUGAAAACCCGAGGCUUAACCUCGGGCCUGCGGUGGAUACGGGCAGACUAGAGGUAGGUAGGGGAGAACGGAAUUCCCGGUGUAGCGGUGAAAUGCGCAGAUAUCGGGAGGAACACCGGUGGCGAAGGCGGUUCUCUGGGCCUUACCUGACGCUGAGGAGCGAAAGCGUGGGGAGCGAACAGG